rnacentral:rRNA from 1 species
CCUACGGGAGGCAGCAGUCGAGAAUCAUUCACAAUGGGGGAAACCCUGAUGGUGCGACGCCGCGUGGGGGAAUGAAGGUCUUCGGAUUGUAAACCCCUGUCAUGUGGGAGCAAAUUAAAAAGAUAGUACCCCAAGAGGAAGAGACGGCUAACUCUGUGCCAGCAGCCGCGGUAAUACAGAGGUCUCAAGCGUUGUUCGGAACCACUGGGCGUAAAGCGUGCGUAGGCUGUUUCGUAAGUCGUGUGUGAAAGGCGCGGGCUCAACCCGCGGACGGCACAUGAUACUGCGAGACUAGAGUAAUGGAGGGGGAACCGGAAUUCUCGGUGUAGCAGUGAAAUGCGUAGAUAUCGAGAGGAACACUCGUGGCGAAGGCGGGUUCCUGGACAUUAACUGACGCUGAGGCACGAAGGCCAGGGGAGCGAAAGGGAUUAGAUACCCGGGUAGUC